rnacentral:rRNA from 1 species
UACGUAGGGUGCGAGCGUUGUCCGGAAUUAUUGGGCGUAAAGAGCUUGUAGGCGGUUUGUCGCGUCUGCUGUGAAAAUCCGGGGCUCAACCCCGGACUUGCAGUGGGUACGGGCAGACUAGAGUGUGGUAGGGAAGACUGGAAUUCCUGGUGUAGCGGUGAAAUGCGCAGAUAUCAGGAGGAACACCGAUGGCGAAGGCAGGUCUCUGGGCCACUACUGACGCUGAGAAGCGAAAGCAUGGGGAGCGAACAGG